rnacentral:rRNA from 1 species
AUUGAACGCUGGCGGCAUGCCUUACACAUGCAAGUCGAACGGCAGCACGGGAGCAAUCCUGGUGGCGAGUGGCGAACGGGUGAGUAAUGUAUCGGAACGUGCCCAGUCGUGGGGGAUAACGCAGCGAAAGCUGUGCUAAUACCGCAUACGAUCUAUGGAUGAAAGCGGGGGAUCGAAAGACCUCGCGCGAUUGGAGUGGCCGAUAUCAGAUUAGCUAGUUGGUGGGGUAAAGGCUCACCAAGGCGAAGAUCUGUAGCUGGUCUGCGAGGACGACCAGCCACACUGGAACUGGGACACGGUCCAGACUCCUACGGGAGGCAGCAGUGGGGAAUUUUGGACAAUGGGCGCAAGCCUGAUCCAGCAAUGCCGCGUGCAGGAUGAAGGCCUUCGGGUUGUAAACUGCUUUUGUACGGAGCGAAAAGGCUUUCUCUAAUACAGGGGGCUCAUGACGGUACCGUAAGAAUAAGCACCGGCUAACUACGUGCCAGCAGCCGCCGUAA